UAAUCAUAUUAUAGGGCAUUUAGUGGAUACCUAGACAAAAGUUUAAAUGGACGUAGUGAGUUGCGAUAAGCCAAAUGGAAUGUCUCUAACCAUGAUGAUAUUUGGAUCUCCAAAGAGAAAACUCGAAAUUUCUAGAAAACGUAGUGAAUUGAAACAUCUUAGUAGCUAUAGGAAAGGAAAUCAACCGAGAUUCCGAAAGUAUUGGCGAAAGAAAUCGGAAUAGGCCAAAGUUUUAUUUAUUCUAUUUUUUGUUUUGAAAGAUUUGGAAAAGUCUGUCAGAGAAGGUAAUAACCCUGUAUUAACAAAAAAUAUUGAAUAAGUUUUAUAUAAAACUGAAUUUGAGUAGAACAAACAUCGUCUUUGUUCGAAGAAUGGAAGGACCAUCUUCCAAGCCUAAGUAUCAACUUUUGAUCGAUAGUGAACAAGUACCGUGAGGGAAAGGUGAAAGAAUCUGAAAUAUUUUUGAAACUGAAUGCUUACAAGCACUAAGAGCUUUCUAUGAAAUUAGAGAGUGAUUGGGUGCCUUUUGCAUAAUGAGUCAAUGACUAAACAAUUAUCUCGCUUAGCUUAAGCUGUCAAGUGUAGGCGUUUUUAAAUAUGUUACCUUCUUUGGUGCGACAUUGAAGAUGAACAAAGGUGAGUAUUGUUUGACCCGAAACCGAGUGAUCUUAUCAUGAUCAGGUUGAAGAAAUGAUAAUACAUUUUGGAGGACCGAAUUCGUAUCUGUUGCAAUAGAUUGAAAUGAAUUGUGAUAAGGAGUGAAAGACUAAUCGUACUCGGAGAUAGCUGGUUUUCUGCGAAAUCUAUUUAGGUAGAGUGGAUAUAUAAAUGCGCGAGAGCAUGGGGUAGAGCACUUUUUAAGUGAGGGUGGCCCAAAGCCUUACUGAAUUUAAGAAAACUCCGAAUACAUGGAUCUCUGUGACGUAUCUAAACAGACUCUUCGCGAUAAGGUGUGGAGUCGAAAGGGAAACAGCCCAGCCCGCUGGUUAAGGUUCCAAAGCAUUAUCUUAGUGAGAAAGGGAGUGAUCAGGCUUUGACAACUAGAAAAUAGGCUUGGAAGCAGCCAUUUAUUAAUGAAAGCGUAAUAGCUCACUGGUCUAUGCUUGAUUGCACUUAAAAUGUAACGGAGCUCAAGAUAAACACCGAAACCGCGGUUGUAAUAAUUUUUUUAAAUGAAACCUUUUAUAGGUAUUAUAAGGUAGCAGAACGUUCUGUAAGUCAGUGAAGAUAAUAUGUAAAUAUUAUUGGAGAUAUCAGAAGUGAAAAUAUUGACAUGAGUAACGAUAAAUCAUGUGAAAUUCAUGAUCGCCGUAAGCCCAAGGUUUUCUACAAAGUAUAGCUUGGUGUAGAGUAAAUCGGUCCCUAAGGUUAUAUAAAACCAAUAUAAUUGAUGGGUUUAAGGGUUUAAUAUUCCUUAAUUUUUAUUUUAUGACAGAUUUUCUUCUAAAAUAAUGUAAUUUAAAAUUACAAUGAAAAUAAAAAGGAUGUUUUUUUAUUUUGGAAAAGGUCUCUGGAAACAGUAAAAUAAUUAAUAAAACCGUACCGCAAACCGACUCUGGUGGGCUAGUGUAAUUGUACUAAGGCGAAGAGUGACCCACGUUUAAGGAACUCGGCAAAUUAUAUCCGUAACUUCGGGAAAAGGAUAGCCUUUUUAUAGGCAGCAUAAAAUUAGGAGCGACGACUGUUUACCAAAAACACAGAACUCGGCUAAGCUAGUUAGCGAUGUAUCGGGUUUGACGUCUGCCCAGUGCUGGAGAAUAAGAGGAAAAGUUAGAUUAAGUUCGAAGCUUCUAAUUAAAUAUUCAGUAAACGGCGGCCGUAACUAUAACGGUCCUAAGGUAGCGAAAUUCCUUGUCAGGUAAGUUCUGACC
rnacentral:rRNA from 1 species